rnacentral:lncRNA from 1 species
CUUCUAAGCAUGUGUCCAAAAUGAGUGUUUUUUUACAUAUAUGCAUAGUUUUCAUAAUUAUUGUUUUGAUAGAUGCAUAAUAUUCCUUUCUUCUGAUUAGGUACUUCCUAUACUAUGAUAUCCAAGAUGUUGAUAGGAGGAAGUUAAGGAAACCCAAGGUGAUGGAGAUACAAAUUUGUAACAAUACUAUUCGUCAGUGAGAUUCCUUCAACAGUAUAGUCACCUCAUCACUUCUACUUCUACUCCCCAAUACCCUUCUCCCAUCUUACUCCUUACUCCCUCCAGUCUGAGUCAAAGCCAGCCUCUCCCAAUAGGUUUUUAGAAGCUAUAUUUAUCUAAGUAUAAUACACUCCCACUUUGAUAAAAUGGUACACCAGGUGAAGAGUUGAAAUCCAAACGCCCUUGCCUCCCUCCUCUAGACUUAACCCAUUACCAAAUUUAUCAUUUCUUCCAGAUCAGAGCUUCCCAACUUGGUUGGAAAGUUGCAGGGGUGUGAGCUAUGGCUCCCUUAGCCCUUAGGGCGAUCUCCAGGGCCUGUGGCUGGGAGAGCUGAGUUGGUCACCUGAAACCUGAAGCAGUUUUCUCCGCCUUUCCAGUGGGGCACAUAAACAUCUCUCUGUGGGUGCCUGGUUGAGAGAACAGUUCUAGAAUUACCAUGCUUUCUCAUUUCUUCAUCUUCCUUCUAGAAUCCAUUCCUACAGUGUGCCCUGGGGCCCUUCCCAAAGGCCAGCUCUGACUAGGCCACCACCCUGCUAGUUUCCCAUGCUCAAUCGCAAACUCCAAGCUCCUUGGUCUCGAGUUUCCGGGCAGCCUUCUUUUCUUGCCUGACUUCUCGCCUUCUUUGAGCUCUUUAAAUCCCAAACAAGCUCACCUCUCAGUUUCCUGAGCAUGUUCCAAUCCUUCCUGUCUUUGGAAUUCAUCACUUCAGCCAGAAAGCCUGAUUCAUUUCUGCCUUUUAGCUCAAAUGUUAACUUCCUCUGUCCCUCCAUCCUAUCCUUAGCAGCAUUCAAGGGACUCAGGUGCUCAAGUUCAUGCCAACAGUAACAUCUGCCGGCCUAAAGCUUUGCCCUCAUUAUUGAAUAAACUGCAAAAUCAAAUCCCUCAUAUGUUUGAGAUUAACUAGUCCAAACUCUUCCUCUUUUAAACAAGAAGCUGAAGCAGGAGAGUAAGCAGCUGGCCCUUUAUCCCUCCAGGUGGAGUAGACAGAUCACUCCUAGACCACAUACCCUUACGGGGCAGGCACAGAUCCUCGUUCUCCUGGUGCCCGCCCAUCACAAAGGCUAGCCCACUGCCACACUGGAGGUUGGCUUCGUAACUGUCGAUCAUUAAAUUAACUUACUAGUUUUUGGUUGCAUUUUUACCUGGUUGUGGAGAACUCUCUACUAAGAAUCUUGUCAUAACUGGUAUUAGAGUUCCAUCUUUAAUCCUCUGGAAGACAGAAUAAAAAUUGGGAAGUAAUCUCAAGUGAAAUACCCAUCCCCAGUAGGCUUUGGCAUUAGGAGACGGUGAAGUUUUACCUUUGUAAGUAAUUAAAACAAUGGUGAAGAAAAACUUACACACCACCAAUACAGAAUUUAUCCCAAAUUCCCAACUUUAAAACCUUUCACCUCCUUGAUCUGAAGUAAGAACCUAUCAUGUGGGACCUUAAAAUAGAUCCUGCUUAUUCUGAAUCAUCUGAAUAAUUUUAUAUGGCUAUUAAAAUGAAAAAACACAAUCCAGACUACUAAGAAUAGUUUUACAACAGGUGGAGUUCCCUCUCACUUAACUGAGGAGGCCCUAAAGGUACACACAGAGGAAAUGUUUACGCUGUUGCCACCAGAAGCCUGAAGUGUCAUGUCUGACUUUCAGUAUGCAGGUCGGGCAGGAGGGCACUGUUGCCAACCAACGUUCAUGUGUUGGACUCAGGUGAGGAAGACCUCAUCCAGGUCAAGCAACCGACAAGUUAAAACCUCAGACGCUCAGUGAGGGCCGUCUCUAAGUCCCAACUCCCCACUUAUUCAAAGCUCCCUGGGCAACAUGACUCAGAACACACCAAAAGUGGCUAUCAGCCACCAUGAACUAUGCCAUAAAUCUUCCUUUAUUAAGUUGUCUGUUGUCUGUGGAGGUCAGAAGCGGGCCAGAGAAAACGUUUACUAGGUUCAUUUAAAGAUUUUGUGAUAAGAGUCUCUCAGCUUUGUGGCUCUCCCAGCCUGUGGGGGAAUUCCACAGGAAGACCUUGAGAGAAACUGCCAUUUUAUUCCUAGGGUUCAAGAAAGGGGGAGGGAGAACAAAGAGACUUCUUGGAGUAAGAUAGAGUGUC